CUCAGGAAUUUCAUCUUGGAUCUACUGCACUAUCUGGAAAGUUUUCAUUAUGUUUAAAGAAGAUGGAAUUGAGCUGCUGAUUUGAAACUGGCAUUUUCUUACUUAGAGAAAGAAUAAGAAGAUGUAGCUUGUGAAGACAAAAAGCUAUUUCCGAAUGAGGGACUGUGGUAGAGGAGUUAUGCGUGGGGGGUGGAGGUACUGAAAAUUUAAAAGGUUCUGAUGCCAUAAGUGUCUGAAUGGGAGGGUCUGUACGAAGCAUAAGCAAAAGGAUGUGCUCUAUUCUUUGUGGAUCCUCUCUCAUGUGCACUGAGCAUCAAAAUGCUGGUUCGGAUUACAGAUAGAUGUCAGUCUUUCUUCCUGCAAAUCUUCUCUGUAAAUGUGGUUUGUCUUAUUGAAUGAAAACUCAGCAGUGAUAGAAAAAGACCCUCAGUAGCCUGCAAGAGCCUCCCAGCUACCAGCUGGCCAAGGCCAGGACUUCUUACCAAAAGUAUAUGAAAAAGUGUCCUUCGAAGUCUUAAAUAGAAAAUUAAACUCCAAAGGAUAAGAAGAAACCCCAAGACACCAGUUUCAUGAAAAAUGUCAAAAAGAAGGGCAUCUGAAGGACAACAGUUUGUCAAAUCUACUACAAAGGCAGAUCUAAGCAAAGGGAACCUCAAAGAUGGGACAUCUCUGAGAUCUACAAAAAGAAAAUGACUGUGUCACAGAAGAAGAGGAGUAUGUGUAUCUCUGUUUAGAAUACAGAAGUUGUCUCUGCCAGUUUUGAAUUUCCCAAAUGAUGAAUCCAAAUAUUUAGUGGAGAGCUUAUGGAUGAAGAAUAAGAUAACUUAAGUCCGGAUUUGGACUUCAGUGGCAAUGGGGACUUCGUGGAGAGACAACAAUUUUGUUUUAGUAAGCUUGGUCGUCAGCUGAUGAAUAUCCAAGAAAGAAGGACCAUAGAGACACAGUCAUGUUAUCUGUUUUCAAAUGUAAUCUUUUCAUGUUAGGGUUGUGGACAGCUCUGUGUGAAGUGGGAAAUAGUUUGUUGAUGGUGGUGUUGUCCAUGCUGUCCAUGGUCCCGGGAUAAAUAACUCUGUUGCCAAGGCUGUCAGUUUGUUACCUGUCACAAACAAUAGAUAGCACUUGCUUGUU